UGGAUGCCUAAUUGCCGAACCAAUAGAGAAGGCAUUCAAAGUCAUCUCAAAUUCAGCAAACAAUGAUGCUAUUAACACAAAAGAACAAAGAACCAAACCAACCAUCCUCCAAUUUGGGAAUAUUAGUUUUCAGAGGGAGACAGUGAAAAGAUCUCAUUCUUCUAGUAAUACUAACCUGUUGGAUGGAGACCUUGGUAGUGCAGUUGUUUGCGAGGAGGUAGCAGUGCCGGCUGUCUGUGGCAUUAGAGCAAUUUUGGUGUCUCCUGUCAACAGAAGAAAAUGAAUAGCCACUCAGUUGCUGGAUGAAGUGAGCUAUCACCCAAUACCAGUUGUGUUCUCUGAGGCAAAGGGAUCAUGUAUAUGGGAUCCUGAAGGCAAAUGGUAUCUAGACUUUCUCUCUGCUUAUUCUGCAGUUAAUCAGUGCUGCUGCCUCUUCAAUGUUUGCACUAAAGCAGCCAACCGUUCCAGUUCAAGCUAUCAUUGCUAAAGGUGUACCGAG